GACGAACGCUGGCGGCGUGCUUAACACAUGCAAGUCGAACGGAAAGGCCCUGCUUUUGUGGGGUGCUCGAGUGGCGAACGGGUGAGUAGCACGUGAGUAACCUGCCCUUGACUUUGGGAUAACUUCAGGAAACUGGGGCUAAUACCGGAUAGGAGCUCCUGCUGCAUGGUGGGGGUUGGAAAGUUUCGGCGGUUGGGGAUGGACUCGCGGCUUAUCAGCUUGUUGGUGGGGUAGUGGCUUACCAAGGCUUUGACGGGUAGCAGGCCUGAGAGGGUGACCGGCCACAUUGGGACUGAGAUACGGCCCAGACUCCUACGGGAGGCAGCAGUGGGGAAUAUUGCACAAUGGGCGGAAGCCUGAUGCAGCAACGCCGCGUGCGGGAUGACGGCCUUCGGGUUGUAAACCGCUUUCGCCUGUGACGAAGCGUGAGUGACGGUAAUGGGUAAAGAAGCACCGGCUAACUACGUG
rnacentral:rRNA from 1 species